GGGGCGUGCUCAGAGCAGGGGGCCUGAAGAAAUGGCUCCACGGUUUACGACACACCCACCAGGAAUCCAGGGGUCAUUGUGAUAAAGGCCACAAAACUUGGAAGUUUUUGGAAGAAAAGCUUCAGUGUU